UGGGGAAUUUUGGACAAUGGGCGCAAGCCUGAUCCAGCAAUGCCGCGUGCAGGAUGAAGGCCUUCGGGUUGUAAACUGCUUUUGUACGGAACGAAAAGCCUCUCUCUAAUACAGGGGGGUGAUGACGGUACCGUAAGAAUAAGCACCGGCUAACUACGUGCCAGCAGCCGCGGUAAUACGUAGGGUGCAAGCGUUAAUCGGAAUACUGGGCGUAAAGCGUGCGCAGGCGGUUUUGUAAGACAGUGGUGAAAUCCCCGGGCUCAACCUGGGAACUGCCAUUGUGACUGCAAGGCUGGAGUGCGGCAGAGGGGGAUGGAAUUCCGCGUGUAGCAGUGAAAUGCGUAGAUAUGCGGAGGAACACCGAUGGCGAAGGCAAUCCCCUGGGCCUGCACUGACGCUCAUGCACGAAAGCGU
rnacentral:rRNA from 1 species